UACGGAAGGCAGCAGUGGGGAAUAUUGCACAAUGGGCGCAAGCCUGAUGCAGCCAUGCCGCGUGUAUGAAGAAGGCCUUCGGGUUGUAAAGUACUUUCAGCGGGGAGGAAGGCGGUGGAGUUAAUAGCUUCACCGAUUGACGUUACCCGCAGAAGAAGCACCGGCUAACUCCGUGCCAGCAGCCGCGGUAAUACGGAGGGUGCAAGCGUUAAUCGGAAUUACUGGGCGUAAAGCGCACGCAGGCGGUCUGUCAAGUCGGAUGUGAAAUCCCCGGGCUUAACCUGGGAACUGCAUUCGAAACUGGCAGGCUAGAGUCUUGUAGAGGGGGUAGAAUUCCAGGUGUAGCGGUGAAAUGCGUAGAGAUCUGGAGGAAUACCGGUGGCGAAGGCGGCCCCUGGGACAAAGACUGACGCUCAGGUGCGAAAGCGUGGGGAGCAAACAGGGAUUAGGAUA
rnacentral:rRNA from 1 species